UUCAAAGCCCUGCACAAACAUUUAUUAAUCCUCACAACAUGCCUAUGAGGUAGGUAAUUAUUAUUAUCCCCAUUUUA